GGUCCCAUAGUUAAAUCGGAUAUAACGGAGCUUUCCUAAAGCUCAGUCAGGGGUUCGAAUCCCUUUGGGACCACCA
rnacentral:tRNA from 1 species